CCUACGGGAGACAGCAGUGGGGGAUAUUGCACAAUGGGGGAAACCCUGAUGCAGCGACGCCGCGUGUGGGAAGACGGUCCUCUGUAUUGUAAACCACUGUACCCAGGGACGAGGAUGACGGUACCUGGGGAGGAAGCUCCGGCUAACUACGUGCCAGCAGCCGCGGUAAUACGUAGGGAGCGAGCGUUGUCCGGAAUUACUGGGUGUAAAGGGAGCGUAGGCGGGGAUGCAAGUUGGGUGUAAAAACUACCGGCUCAACUGGUAGUCGCAGUCGAAACUGCAGCUCUUGAGUGAGGUAGAGGCAGGCGGAAUUCCUAGUGUAGCGGUGAAAUGCGUAGAUAUUAGGAGGAACACCAGUGGCGAAGGCGGCCUGCUGGGCUUUUACUGACGCUGAGGCUCGAAAGUGUGGGGAGCAAACAGGAUUAGAUACCCGGGUAGUC
rnacentral:rRNA from 1 species